rnacentral:lncRNA from 1 species
ACUAUUAAAAAGUAGUCGGUAACUACUCAACAUUAUUGCAUAUUAAUAUUACAAACAGGGUAGAAGCAAGUUUCAUAGUUUAGCCACACACAUGUAGUCUACGGGGUAGAGGUGAAGUUGAAGGUAGCACAAGUUGUACGUUUNAAACCAUUUCACAUUAAACCGACGCUCCUUAGUCCCGAAUAGUGUUUGAGGAAAUUCAUAAUCUUCUGGUUGACAAGGGCCUCUUUGUAUGUACGUUCUCCUCACUAAAUCUCUCUCAUUGGGAUGAAAAUCACUCAAUUUUUUUCUUUUGCCGGGAUCUUGUGGAAGACUAACAAUAUCAAAAUCAAGUUGAGGACCUUGAGGUAUAGUGACUGACGGAGAAGAAUCCUGGUGGCUUGGUUGAGUUGCCUGUCCGACAUUGAUUUCUGUCUCUGGAAUUUCUUUUUCUUCACUUUCUUGACCUUGAAAAGCAUUCACUGCAGUUGGUUUUUUGGUAAAGAAGCUUGAGAUAUCACGAGUACUUAACCUUUUCAUUCCGUCAACAACAAAUCAAACCCAAGUAGGAAUCAAUAACGCAACAAAAACUGAUAAAAUCAAACUAUAUCCAACAAAUAUUCACUGUGACAUUUUAUCGAACAUCUUGAGGUCUCUGUUUUUUCUUCUUCUAAUUGCAAUUUUUAAAAAAUCUGAAACCAUGAGUAUAAUAGAGGAGAAUCUUGGAGAUGAAUCAUAUCAUGAAUUUGAAGAUUUUAGAAUGAAGAAAUCAGUCCGAGAGGCUUGGUAUUUGAAGCAGGGAGGAAAGGGAGGAAAAGGGUGUGCUGUGUGGAGUAUGGUGUGUCACUGCUUUUUAAAAUAAAAGAUGCCCUGUAUCCAACAUUCCAACUGAUGUAUAUGAAUAAAAAAAAUUUUGAAAAAAAAAAAAAUUAAAAACAAUGGUAGGUCACGUGACCUCCCAUUACCCACUAUGCAUCCGCCACUGACUACAACCACGAAAAAAUGUAUAAAACACAAUUAUACAUAAGAGAUCUGUUGAAUGAAAUUAAAAUUUGACGAAAAAAGACCAGUCAUACCACAAAAAAACAACAAAAAUAAGAGAUAAAACUAUUAAAAAGUAGUCGGUAACUACUCAACAUUAUUGCAUAUUAAUAUUACAAACAGGGUAGAAGCAAGUUUCAUAGUUUAGCCACACACAUGUAGUCUACGGGGUAGAGGUGAAGUUGAAGGUAGCACAAGUUGUACGUUUGAACAACAAAGAGUUGCUAAAUCCAAGUCUUGAUCUUGCGAGAUCGAACUCGAGAAGAUUAUUCUCUAGCUGGUAUGAACCGAUCACAAUCG